AUGAGUAAGUGGUGCCUCUUGGUUCAUCUACUUUGUAGUUACGACCUUCAGGUGUCUCUCAAUUUUAAAUUGUGCACUAAUCAUGUGAUCUAUCAAAACAUAUUGGCUACACAGAGGUGCAUCAGGAUGACCAUCCACCAUUGUUUCUUCGAAAGCACGCGGCAGAGGCACCCACACCUGCGGUUCAGCAAGAUCUACAUCUCCAACGACUACACCAAGGACUGGGGCAUAUACGCCAUAUGUGCCUGUGUUGAAGCUCAGAUUGUAUCCCAGUGUAACAUAUAGGAAGGAGGACAGAAGACGACUAUUUUCAAUUACAUGCCGGAGAAGGUACCUGCAUAUUCACACAUAAUGAGAUGA
rnacentral:rRNA from 1 species